GGUGGGGUGGCUGAGUGGUUUAAGGCGACGCUCUUGAAAAGCGUUAUACCAGAAAUGGUAUCGUGAGUUCGAAUCUCACCCCCACCG
rnacentral:tRNA from 1 species